AAAGAGUCAGACACCACUGGGCGACUGAACAAAAAAGGAGGGUUGCUUUGAGCUCCUCAGACAUGGAUGGUGGGCUCUAACCAUCACCCAUCUUUGCUGAUAGCAAGAAUGGUAGCUGCAGAAUCACUAUUGUUUCAGCGUAUCCAGAGUGCUACAUUUGCAGCACUUAAAACGAAAAAUAAAACAAGCAGCAGAACUGGCAAUGAGGAAGAAAAAGGAAACCAGGAAGUUGGAAGCUGGCAUGAAGUGAUUUAUUUAGGAAAAAAGGAAAAAGAAAGAAAGGAGCACUCUGUGGUUAAUUAUGCUUAUCUGAGAUGAAUGUAUUUUGGUGAAAAAAAAUCUUAGAACUGCUUUUUAAAUUUUAGGGACUAUUUAGAUAUGGUUGCUAACAAUGUGUUAUCAUCCUAGGGUAGAAGUCGGUCAGUAAUUAUAGUUAUAAAUCAGAGAGACAGGUUUAAGACAGCUUCUUAGGAUUCCAAGACAAAGCUGCUCUGUGUGAUCUACAGGUUGAAAUAACUCUUCAGUGUUAUCUGGAGGCAAUGGGUGACUUAAAAUCAAUCAAUAGUAUCAGAAAUUCACAAAGCUCCUAGUUUGCCUCUUAACAAAAAAGUUCCACUAGUUUUUAGAGAAUACUGUUUUGUCUGUAACAAAACUGAACCUCAGGCAUGCUCUGACCUUUUAUUUCAUUCUUUUUCUUCUUAACUUUUGGCCAUGUCACACAGCUUGUGGCAUCGCAGCUCUCUGACCAGGGACUGAACCUGGGCCAUAGCAGUGAGUGCCAAAUCCUAACCACGGGACUUCCAGGGAACUCCCUAUUUCAUCAUUUAUGCUCUGACUCAUUCCACAAAACUUUUGUGGUUGUGCAGUAAGCUUUAAUUGUAAGUAAUUACAAUUGUAAAGGCAAAUGUGCUUUUCCUUUUUUUAAAAAAAAUAAUGGCCUUUUUGACUUGCCUGGUGGCACAGUGGGUGAGAAUCCACCAG